AUACUUACCUGGACGGGGUCUAUGGACGAUCAAUAAGGUUUAGGGCCUAGAUCAAUGGCUCAUAUUGUACUUGGUGGGUGUGUUGGUCUACCAUCUUUUUAAGCGGGAGAGUGGACUUCAUAAUUUGUGACAAAAAGGUACGUGUCCGCGUAGCCCCUAA